AUUGAACGCUGGCGGCAGGCCUAACACAUGCAAGUCGAACGAGUGGCGGACGGGUGAGUAAUGUCUGGGAAACUGCCUGAUGGAGGGGGAUAACUACUGGAAACGGUAGCUAAUACCGCAUACCAUCUGAUGUGCCCAGAUGGGAUUAGCUAGUAGGUGGGGUAAAGGCUCACCUAGGCGACGAUCCCUAGCUGGUCUGAGGGGAUGACCAGCCACACUGGAACUGAGAACCGGUCCAGACGCCUACGGGAGGCAGCAGGGGGGAAUAUUGCACAAUGGGCGCAAGCCUGAUGCAGCCAGGCCGCGUAGGGGAAGAAGGCCUUCGGGUUGUAAAGUACUUUCAUCGGGGAGGCGUUACCCGCAGAGGAAGCACCGGCUAACUCCGUGCCAGCAGCCGCGGUAAUAC
rnacentral:rRNA from 1 species